GAAAUAAACCUAAGAACUUCUAAUUCUAACUUUAUAAUUAAUUAUUAUAUUAUUUCU
rnacentral:tRNA from 1 species